rnacentral:rRNA from 1 species
UACGGAGGGUGCAAGCGUUAUCCGGAUUCACUGGGUUUAAAGGGUGCGUAGGAGGGCAGGUAAGUCAGUGGUGAAAUCUCCAAGCUUAACUUGGAAACUGCCGUUGAUACUAUCUGUCUUGAAUACCGUGGAGGUGAGCGGAAUAUGUCAUGUAGCGGUGAAAUGCUUAGAUAUGACAUAGAACACCAAUUGCGAAGGCAGCUCGCUACACGAAUAUUGACUCUGAGGAGCGAAAGCGUGGGGAGCGAACAGG